rnacentral:snRNA from 1 species
GGAUGUGAGGGCAAUCUGGCUGCGACAUCCAUCACCCCAUUGAUCGCCAGGGUUGAUUCGGCUGAUCUGGCUGGCUAGGCGGGUGUCCCCUUCCUCCCUCACCGCUCCAUGUGCGUCCCUCCUGAAGCUGCGCACUCGGUGGAAGAGGACGACAUCCCAGGCAUAGAAGGAGUGUACUGAGGUCUCCAGUCUUCGGUCCCGGGUAUACGAUAGCUGCGCUCCCCUGCUAGAACCUCCAAACAACGUGACUGACAUAAGUCAACAGGUGACUUGAAGGCACACAUUCACACCCCCAAACACUUUGACACACAACCUUAU